GCCGCCGCUCUCGUCGCACGAGCUCUAUCUGCCGCCACUCUCAUCGCAUAUGCUUCCUCUGGCGUCUCUUUUAUCUAAUCUCAAAUAGUUCUCUCAGUUCUUCUCAUGGAGUGAGAAAUGUAAUACUUAUGAACGGUUGCUCGUAUUUUUGUGCGAAUUUCAGGAUGCUGAGCAUAAAAAUAUAGAGGACAUCUUUGAUUGUGUGCGGUGAUCAGCUCUAUCGAAUGGACUACUUGGAACUUGUGCAGGUUGAUCUUGAUCCGUAUAGUUCACCUUCUAUGUUUUUGGAUUCAGUAGUUCAAUAUGUUGCUGAUGGUGCUCAGAGAAAAAUAUUGAAUUGUACAAAAAGGUUUGAUAACAGUAACACAGAAAGAUUAAUGGAAAGCAUGUCUGAAGAAGAGAGAAAAGGGAAUUUGGAUUUGAUGUAAAGGCAAUGGAUUGGAAAGAUUAUAUCACCAAUUUAGAAAGAUUAUAUCAAGAGGAAAAAGCUGAAAUAGAAGAGAUGGAAUGAGGCUUAUGUUAGUUAUUACAAAAAGGUUAAGGCGUCAAGUGGUUUCAGUGCUGUUCCACUACCACCGAUGUCGCUGCCACCCCUCAAUCUCUUCGGAGGAGGACUAUGAUGUUGAUGAGGAUGAAGAUGAUAUUGAGAUUAUAGCUGAUAUUUUUAGUAUGAUUGAACAAUAUACUGAGGAUUAUAGUUGAUGUAUCAAUAUAUUUGUGUUUAUGUUUUGAAUUGA